rnacentral:rRNA from 1 species
CACGUAGGGCGCAAGCGUUGUUCGGAAUUACUGGGCGUAAAGCGCAUGUAGGCGGCCUAGCAGGUCGGAUGUGAAAUCCCUCGGCUCAACCAAGGAAGUGCAUUCGAAACCGCAAGGCUCGAGUCCCGGAGAGGAUGGUGGAAUUCUCGGUGUAGAGGUGAAAUUCGUAGAUAUCGAGAGGAACACCGGCGGCGAAGGCGGCCAUCUGGACGAGGACUGACGCUGAGAUGCGAAAGCGUGGGGAGCAAACAGG